rnacentral:misc_RNA from 1 species
CUACCGAAAAUCAACAACAAAACAUACCAAAACAUAGAAGUGAUUCAUCUGUAAUUAGGUUUUUGUGGUUCGAGAAAAUUUCAGAAUUGCGUAUUCUAAUAAUCGUAAUUAUAUUAAAACCUAAAAUAUAGAAAUCGUUAAAUAUAUUACCUGAUAAUGUCUGUAAAUACGGCACACGCCAAUAAUGGAGUGUUGAUUCAUGCCGGAGAGUACAUAUUAUUGCAUAGUGAUGGCGUUACCAUGGACUUCUCCGGUCAGGAUAAUCCUGUCUUUAAGGGCUCAAAGCAAGGGCGUAUUUACCUGACGUCACACCGGCUGAUAUUUAACAAUAAAAAACCGGCUGAUCAGCUGCAAUCUUUUAGUGCACCUUUUAUAGCGCUUUCAGAUGUGGAGUUGGAGCAGCCAGUCUUUGGCGCCAACUACAUUAAGGCCAAGGUUCGUGCGCAACCAAACGGAAAUUUUAUUGGCGAGGUAAAGUUCAAGUUGCAUUUUAAGUCUGGUGGAGCGAUUGAGUACGGUCAGGCUUUGCUACGCGCAGCUAGUACUGCUCAAAGUAAUUACCAUCGUGGUGGCGCUCCCAACGAUGAUCCACCACCCUACACGCCAGCAGGCGCUUGGCAUGAGGCUCCACCACCGGCCUAUCAGCCACCACCAGGCUACUACGGUUGGCUGCCUACACAUGAGGCGUUCAGUGGCCCAGCCAACGGCACGGUGUUUGUAAGCGAUAAUCCACCACCAUAUCCAGGCAUUGGCGGACCACCAGCUUAUACACCACAACCAUAUGCGCAACCCGGCUAUAACCCACAACAGCCAUACGCAGGCUAUAAUCCACAACAGCCAUAUGCUGGCUAUAAUCCACAACAGCCACAACCUGGUUACAAUCCACAACAGCCGCAAGGUGCUUGCAACCCACAGCCUCAAUACGGAAACAACGAUGCGCCAGCCUGGAACGGCUUUUCAGCACCACCAUCCGAACAGCCACAACAACAACCACCACCCGGAAAUCAACCACCACCCUACGCGGCUGGUGGAUACGGCCAGCCAGGCGGUUAUCCUCCGGGCGCCCCCGGUGCCUACAAUCCAUCAUAUAACCCUGGUUACAAUCCGGCUUACAAUCCCGGCCAUCAACCAGGUGGCUAUCCCCAGCCGGGAGGUUACCCACCACCAGGCGGUGCACCAGGUGGAGCUGCGGCCGGUGCAAUGGGCUUUGGCAUGCCGCCAGCAAUGUUUUAAAAAAGUGUCGCACAAGUAUGCAACCGCCUAAACUACAAAUAUUUAACGUCGCAAAAACAUACCAAAAAUCAAAUCCCUUACCAGAUUCUAAAGAAGCCGAGGCAAUGGCUAGCGCCCAAAAUACAACUUACAACCAAUAUUCCAAUAAUGCUGCACCGAGCGACUUGCCGCCAGCCUAUGAUGCUCUACCACCCAACUAUGACAGCGCUUAUAAGAAGAAUCAGUAACUGUUACAAUAACAACAGUAGUAAAUCUCUAAAUACGUUUGUUCACAAUUUUUUACAUAACGUCUAAUCUGUAGAGCAACUCCACAAACUACGUCACAACUUAUAAGACAUAGACGAAAAUAUGAUUUAAGUAGUAAAAAUUGUUACAGUAUGCGGUUAACUAGCUGGCAGUGUUGCUUCGGUUCAUAGUGUGCGAAUUUGACACAUUUCUUAUUCAUUCCGCUGAACUUGCGCGUAAAAUAUUUACAUAUAUACCAUUUAUAUACUUAUAUAAUAUAUGCAUUCUUUAUAUGUUUCAAAUGUAAACCUUAUAUAAACCUAUUACUACUAUAUACCUGCAUGUUUACACACACAGCAUACACACACACGAGUAUAUUUAUCAAAUUAGCUAUAAUAACCAGUUAGUACACUUACCAAAUAUUAUCAGAGCAUACUUUAUUAUUUUGUUAAAAUUCCUUUAAUAAUUAACAUGCAAAUUCUAAUAUUGUUACAUGAAGCGCAAAUUAAC